rnacentral:lncRNA from 1 species
UAAAUUUGGUUUUGGAAUCUAAAGUUGGGGAGAGUAAAGUAAAAAGAUGUGAUUAGAAACUUGGAAAAGUGAGUUUUUUUUUAUGAAAGGGUGAAAAUAUGAAAAGAAACAAGAAAAAGAAAUCACCCUUGAAACCAUAGAGCAAAGAAAAAGAAAAGAAAGAAAAAAGCAAAGAAAAUGCUCAUGGUUGUGUGGAUGUGAAAAGAAAAAGAAAAGGAAAAAGAUAGGG